UAAUUUUUGGUGUAAAAGCACAUUAAAUUUUGAUUUUAAAGGAAACAUUAUAAAAAUUGUUAAAAUUAA
rnacentral:tRNA from 1 species